rnacentral:lncRNA from 1 species
AUCGGUAAGAGCACAGCUGCUCGAAUUCUCUAAGGUGGGUGUACGGAUCUUCAUCUACUCGCCCAGAGAAGGGUUGGUCCUGAAUCAUGGCUAUUUGAUCAGGGCCGAGGUCAUAGCCAUCUGUAAGAAUUGGAUGUGAUGAUGGUGGUGGCUCUAAUAACUCAUCCUUCGGAGCAAAAAGUUUAUAGAUAGGAGUGGAAUCCAUGUGGUAUGGUGAAAAUGGUAAGGUGAGUGUGGUAAAAAAAGAAAA